UACGGAGGGUGCAAGCGUUGUCCGGAAUCACUGGGCGUAAAGGGCGCGUAGGCGGUGCGGUAAGUCCGCAGUGAAAUCUCUGGGCUCAACUCAGAGUCUGCUGUGGAAACUGCCGUGCUUGAGUGUGGGAGAGGUGAGUGGAAUUCCCGGUGUAGCGGUGAAAUGCGUAGAUAUCAGGAGGAACACCAAUAGCGAAGGCAGCUCGCUGGGACGUUACUGACACUGAGGCGCGAAAGCGUGGGGAGCGAACAGG
rnacentral:rRNA from 1 species